GCAGAGCACAUCGAUGGCGACGCCAAAGCAGAAGGGGCGGGGUCGCCGGGGACUGCCAAGAAAGCCCAGAAUUUAUCUUACAGCUACAAGCAAGGUGCCUGGCUGCCCUCAACACUUCCCUAAAGGGGGAAGGAAGUGACUAUGGAAAUGGCGGAGCCAAGCAAAACCAGGGAGGGCAGACCUUCCGUCACUGGUCACCGUUGAGGCAAAAGCCCUGCGCGGCCUGAGCCCCAGCCCUGCCCAAACAGGAGUUGUGGAUUUUGUGGAAGAAUACCAUGGAAGUAAAGUGCCAUUCUCUUGACAUCAUACCAGAGGGACACGCUAUCAACAGGGAUGAUAUUAGUCCCAAACACUAGACAAGGCAGUGUUUAUCGAGCCUC